rnacentral:rRNA from 1 species
ACGCUGGCGGCAUGCCUCCACAUGCAAGUCGAACGGUAACGCGGGGCAACCUGGCGACGAGUGGCGAACGGGUGAGUAAUACAUCGGAACGUGCCCAGUAGUGGGGGAUAGCCCGGCGAAAGCCGGAUUAAUACCGCAUACGACCUACGGGUGAAAGGGGGGGAUCGCAAGACCUCUCGCUACUGGAGCGGCCGAUAUCAGAUUAGGUAGUUGGUAAGGUAAAGGCCUACCAAGCCGACGAUCUGUAGCUGGUCUGAGAGGACGACCAGCCACUCUGGGACUGAGACACGGCCCAUACUCCUACGGGAAGCAGCAAUGGG